GGUUGUGGAGCUUUAUUGGCUUAUACGGAGUAUUAAUGCUGGUGGGUAGUAAUUAUCGCAUCGCGAUUUUACUCACCGGAGCAUGACCAACGCCCCCGGGUAUUCAACACCCUGUGCGGCCCCAGCGUAGGCGGCGUCAGUGGCACUGGAUGCGGCCUCAGUGCGGCCAGGUCCCCAGGACAGCCCCGUAGCACCUCCUCGUCCUUGUUUGUUGGAUCAUGGCAGUUCCAAUAUAGCCGGUGGGCUUCGUCUUCUCGAGUUCCCGUGACAUGGUGAACAGAACAACCAGCAGGCAGCGGCAUGGGCUCAGCAGGGCGCUGGUGGCUUGAGCUCUAAGGAGGAUGAGGCCACCGCGGCAGUAGGCACCACUGCACACGACGACGAUGUCAACAUCCACUACAAUGGGCGAAGCCAGACGAGAGAGUCGCCGGGGUUGGAUGGCCUAAACACUGGGGUCGGCCACAUGGUUAAACAGUGCUAAAUAGUAAUCUUCCAUUGAUUUGAUCAAAUUCCGUCGGGGUCCGGCGACCCCGACAGCUACACGCAGCUCCGCCCCUGAUCUCGUCGUCUUGUGUGUGUGUUUAUGGCUGGCUCCUAAAUGUAGACUGAAGACGGAUCAUUGUUCUAGCAAAUCUUUUUUUUUUGAAAGAAAAUUGUUCUAGCAAAUCUCAGUCGGCUACAUAGAGUAACAAAAAUUGAGGCUUCAGUUUUAAUAGAGAGCAGAGGGGAUAGAGAUGCUAGACAUUCUUACUACAUUGUAAUAAUUAA